rnacentral:rRNA from 1 species
AUACGUAGGGGGCGAGCGUUGUCCGGAAUGAUUGGGCGUAAAGGGCGCGUAGGCGGCCGGGUAAGUCUGGAGUGAAAGUCCUGUUUUUAAGAUGGGAAUUGCUUUGGAUACUGUCGGGCUUGAGUGCAGGAGAGGUAAGUGGAAUUCCCAGUGUAGCGGUGAAAUGCGUAGAGAUUGGGAGGAACACCAGUGGCGAAGGCGACUUACUGGACUGUAACUGACGCUGAGGCGCGAAAGUGUGGGGAGCAAACAGGAUUAGAUACCCUGGUAGUCCACACUGUAAACGAUGAAUGCUAGGUGUAGGGGGUAUCGACCCCUUCUGUGCCGCAGUCAACACAAUAAGCAUUCCGCCUGGGGAGUACGGCCGCAAGGUUGAAACUCAAAUGAAUUGACGGGG